AGAGUUUGAUCCUGGCUCAGGAUGAACGCUGGCGGUCUGCUUAACACAUGCAAGUCGAGCGGGCUCUUCGGAGCUAGUGGCGGACGGGUGAGUAACGCGUGAGAAUCUGCCCACAGGAGGGGGACAACCACUGGAAACGGUGGCUAAUACCCCAUAAGCCGAGAGGUAAAAAGGAAUCCGCCUGUGGAGGAGCUCGCGNUCUGAUUAGCUAGUAGGUGAGGUAAGAGCUUACCUAGGCGACGAUCAGUAGCUGGUCUGAGAGGAUGAGCAGCCACACUGGGACUGAGACACGGNCCCAGACUCCUACGGGAGGCAGCAGUGGGGAAUUUUCCGCAAUGGGCGAAAGCCUGACGGAGCCAGACCGCGUGAGGGAAGAAGGCCUUUGGGUUGUAAACCUCUUUUCUCAGGGAAGAAGAAAGUGACGGUACCUGAGGAAUCAGCCUCGGCUAACUCCGUGCCAGCAGCCGCGGUAAGACGGAGGAGGCAAGCGUUAUCCGGAAUUAUUGGGCGUAAAGCGUCCGUAGGUGGUGAUUCAAGUCUGCUGUCAAAACCCAGGGCUUAACUCUGGAUCGGCAGUGGAAACUGAAUGACUAGAGUGCGGCAGGGGCAGAGGGAAUUCCCGGUGUAGCGGUGAAAUGCGUAGAGAUCGGGAAGAACACCGGUGGCGAAAGCGCUCUGCUGGGCCGCGACUAACACUCACAGGACGAAAGCUAGGGGAGCGAAUGGGAUUAGAUACCCCAGUAGUCCUAGCUGUAAACGAUGGAAACUAGGUGUGGCCUGUAUCGACCCGGGCCGUGCCGGAGCUAACGCGUUAAGUUUCCCGCCUGGGGAGUACGCACGCAAGUGUGAAACUCAAAGGAAUUGACGGGGGCCCGCACAAGCGGUGGAGUAUGUGGUUUAAUUCGAUGCAACGCGAAGAACCUUACCAGGGCUUGACAUGUCGCGAAUCCCGGUGAAAGCUGGGAGUGCCUUCGGGAGCGCGAACACAGGUGGUGCAUGGCUGUCGUCAGCUCGUGUCGUGAGAUGUUGGGUUAAGUCCCGCAACGAGCGCAACCCUCGUCCUUAGUUGCCAGCAUUCAGAUGGGAACUCUAGGGAGACUGCCGGUGACAAACCGGAGGAAGGUGGGGAUGACGUCAAGUCAGCAUGCCCCUUACGUCCUGGGCGACGCACGUACUACAAUGGUUGGGACAAAGGGUAGCCAAGCCGCGAGGACGAGCCAAUCCCAUAAACCCAGCCACAGUUCAGAUCGCAGGCUGCAACUCGCCUGCGUGAAGGAGGAAUCGCUAGUAAUUGCCGGUCAGCAUACGGCAGUGAAUCCGUUCCCGGGCCUUGUACACACCGCCCGUCACACCAUGGGAGCUGGCCACGCCCGAAGUCGUUACUCUAACCGUUCGCGGAGGAGGACGCCGAAGGCAGGGCUGGUGACUGGGGUGAAGUCGUAACAAGGUAGCCGUACCGGAAGGUGUGGCUGGAUCACCUCCUUUUAGGGAGACCUAAACCCCUCUGUACCGAAAAAAGUAAUUAGGUAAGAGAAAGGGUCAGACCUAGGUCGGUCGAGGAUUAGAAGCAGGCUUUCAAACUCAAUUCGGUUCGGAGGUAUGGGCUAUUAGCUCAGGUGGUUAGAGCGCACCCCUGAUAAGGGUGAGGUCCCUGGUUCGAGUCCAGGAUGGCCCACCUAAACCCAAAAAACCCUAUGUGAGGGAAUAAAGUGGGGGUAUAGCUCAGUUGGUAGAGCGCUGCCUUUGCAAGGCAGAUGUCAGCGGUUCGAGUCCGCUUACCUCCAGUGGAGGAAAAAUCAAGAGUCAGCAACUCAUAAGUAAUGAGACUGCUGGCUAACUUGCCAGCCAGAACCUUGAAAAGUACAUAGCAACAAGUCUAAAAAGUCUAGGGAAAAAGAUCAAACAGACAUUAAUCAAUGGUCAAGCUACAAAGGGCUGACGGAGGAUACCUAGGCACACAGAG
rnacentral:rRNA from 1 species